AGUUUGGUGUGCCGUUGCGGUGGGCAAGGGCCUCCUUUUCUCCUCAAUUUCCUCCAUUUCUUCUUCUCCUGCUUCUCAUUCUGUGCACGCUCGCUUCACCCACUCGCUGCAUGCUCUCUUCGUCGCCUCGCUCCGUUUUGUUCGAACGCCCUAUCCUCCGGCUCUGCACCAUGGCCACCCGUUCCUCCAUUGGUGCUGUCGGUUGAGCUUCCUUGGAUUUUGCGUUGGCUCCUUCGUAGGAGUGUGGCUUGUUCUGUCCUUGCUGUCCAGGUUGUUCCAUCUUGCUGAUUUGGUGCAGAAUCUCCGUUUAGCUCAUCGUCGCGUCUUCAUUCUGCUCGUUGGGUCGCGUCAAGUGUGGCCUCUGGGCUGCUUGUGUCUCCUUGGCCCAUUUAUUCGUGAUGCAAGGAAAUGGCCUCUGUGUUGUCCCCUCCUGCAGCAGUUAGAUCUAGCCCCUUGGCUGAAACCUGAUACCAUUGUACAGCAGUGCAAGUGUCUUGCCUGAUGGUCUUUAAAAAAUUCUUAUACACGAAUGGCUGGACUGAUUUUUUCAACAUAAUAAGUACUUGUUUUCUAUAGUUGGUAGCAUAUAUAUAGCUUACGGAGAUCUCAUGUAAUAGAAACAGACAUCUAAGUUGAAACUUGGGGAUCAUCUCAUAGCCUCAUGUUCACUUCUCCCC